UCGGGAAUUUUGGGCAAUGGGCGGAAGCUUGACCCAGCAACGCCGCGUGAGGGAUGAAGUAUUUCGGUAUGUAAACCUCGAAAGAAUGGGAAGAAUAAAUGACGCUACCAUUUAUAAGCUCCGGCUAACUACGUGCCAGCAGCGGCGGUAAUACGUAGGGAGCAAGCGGUGAUCGGAUUUACUGGGCGUAAAGGGCGCGUAGGCGGCGCGGUAAGUCACUUGUGAAAUCUCUGAGCUUAACUCAGAACGGCCAAGUGAUACUGCUGUGCUAGAGUGCGGAGGAGGCAACCGUAAUUCUUGGUGUAGCGGUGAAAUACGUAGAUAUCAAGAGGAACACCUGAGGCGAAGGCGGGUUGCUGGGCAGACACUGACGCUGAUGCGCG
rnacentral:rRNA from 1 species